UACGUAGGGUGCAAGCGUUGUCCGGAAUUAUUGGGCGUAAAGAGCUCGUAGGCGGUCUGUCGCGUCGGCUGUGAAAACCCGGGGGCUCAACCCCGGGCCUGCAGUCGAUACGGGCAGACUAGAGUGCGGUAGGGGGAGACUGGAAUUCCUGGUGUAGCGGUGAAAUGCGCAGAUAUCAGGAGGAACACCGGUGGCGAAGGCGGGUCUCUGGGCCGUAACUGACGCUGAGGAGCGAAAGCGUGGGGAGCGAACAGGA
rnacentral:rRNA from 1 species